rnacentral:rRNA from 1 species
AAGAAGAUACUAAGGGCGCACGGCGGAUGCCUUGGCACAGGAAGUCGAAGAAGGACGCGGCAAGCUGCGAUAAGCUCCGGGGAGGCGCAAACGGCCUUCGAUCCGGAGAUCUCCGAAUGGGGGAACCCAGCAGGGGUCAUGCCCUGCUACCCGCGCCUGAAUGAAAUAGGGCGCGAGGAGGCAACCCGGGGAACUGAAACAUCUAAGUACCCGGAGGAAGAGAAAUCAACCGAGAUUGCGGGAGUAGCGGCGAGCGAAACCGCACCAGCCCAAACCCAUGCACGUGCAAGCUUGAGGGCGUUGCUGCAUGAGGGGUUGUGGGACCGCGCAUUCCAUGGGCCUCAGACCAUGGACGCAGUUACAAAUCCGCGCGGAAGCGGAACGGCCUGGGAAGGCCGGCGGAACAGGGUGAGAGCCCCGUACGCGAAUCCGCGCGGACUGCGAGUGCGGCGCCCGAGUAGCGCCGGGCACGUGAAACCCGGUGCGAACCUGGGGGGACCACCCUCCAAGGCUGAACACUCUCCUGUGACCGAUAGCGAACCAGUACCGUGAGGGAAAGGUGAAAAGCACCCCGAGAGGGGAGUGAAACAGUACCUGAAACCGUGCGCCUACAAGCAGUCGGAGCCCCCGAGCGGGGUGACGGCGUGCCUUUUGUAGAAUGAGCCAGCGAGUUGCGGUAUGCGGCGAGGUUAAGGUUUGAACCGAGCCGCAGUGAAAGCGAGCCUUUAAGAUGGCGAUAGAGUCGCAUGCUGCAGACGCGAAGCCGGGUGAGCUAUCCAUGGGCAGGCUGAAGCGGGGGUAAGACCCCGUGGAGGGCCGAACCCACUUCGGUUGAAAACGGAGGGGAUGACCCGUGGAUAGGGGUGAAAGGCCAAUCAAACCCGGAGAUAUCUCGUUCUCCCCGAAAUAGCUUUAGGGCUAGCCUCGGCCGUUCUCCGACGGCGGUAGAGCACUGGAUCGUCGAGGGGGCUUCACCGCCUACCGACACGAACCAAACUCCGAAUGCCGCCGGAUCAGAGGCCGGGAGUCAGAACAUGUGGGCUAAGCUGUGUGUUCGAGAGGGAAACAGCCCAGACCGCCCGCUAAGGUCCCCAAGUUUAUGCUGAGUGGCAAAGGAUGUGCGUUUGCCUAGACAACCAGGAUGUUGGCUUAGAAGCAGCCAUGCAUUUAAAGAGUGCGUAACAGCUCACUGGUCAAGUGGACAUGCGCCGACAAUUCACGGGGCUAAGCAUAACACCGAAGCGGCGGACUAAUCUAUAUUAGUGGUAGGGGAGCUUUCCCCGCAGCGGAGAAGCCGAGAGGGCGACCCUCGGUGGAGCGCGGGGAAGUGAGAAUGCUGGCAUGAGUAACGAGAGCGGCGCGAGAAACGCCGCCGCCGUAAGCCUAAGGGUUCCUGGGCAAGGCUAAUCCUCCCAGGGUCAGUCGGGAGCUAAGGCGAGGCCGAGAGGCGUAGCCGAUGCGCAACAGGCGGACAUUCCUGUACCGCCUGCGGACCGCUAUCACCGACGGGGUGACGGAGAAGGGUAGCCGAGCGGGGUUCUGGACGUCCCCGUGAAAGCGCGUAGGGAGCAUCGCAUGGAAAUCAGCG